rnacentral:rRNA from 1 species
AGUGAACGCUGGCGGUAGGCCUAACACAUGCAAGUCGAACGGCAGCACAGUAAGAGCUUGCUCUUACGGGUGGCGAGUGGCGGACGGGUGAGGAAUACAUCGGAAUCUACUUUUUCGUGGGGGAUAACGUAGGGAAACUUACGCUAAUACCGCAUACGACCUACGGGUUAAAGCAGGGGAUCUUCGGACCUUGCGCGAUUGAAUUAGCCGAUGUCGGAUUAGCUAGUUGGCGGGGUAAAGGCCCACCAAGGCGACGAUCCGUAGCUGGUCUGAGAGGAUGGUCGGCAACACUGGAACUGAGACACGGUCCAGACUCCUAGGGGAGGAAGCAGUGGGGAAUAUUGGACAAUGGGGGAAAGCUUGAUCAAGCCAUACCGCGUGGGUGAAGAAGGCCUUCGGGUUGUAAAGCCCUUUUGUUGGGAAAGAAAAGCAGCAGGUUAAUACCCCGCUGUUCUGACGGUACCAAAAGAAUAAGCACCGGCUAACUUCGU